AACGUAGGACGCAAGCGUUAUCCGGAGUUACUGGGCGUAAAGCGCGUGUAGGCGGCCUUGCAAGUCGGAUGUGAAAGCCCACGGCUCAACCGUGGAAGUGCAUCCGAAACUGCAUAGCUUGAGUCUCGGAGAGGAAGGUGGAAUGCUUGGUGUAGAGGUGAAAUUCGUAGAUAUCAAGCAGAACACCUGCGGCGAAGGCGGCCUUCUGGACGAUGACUGACGCUGAGACGCGAAAGCGUGGGGAGCAAACAGG
rnacentral:rRNA from 1 species